GGGCGAUUAGCUCAGCUGGGAGAGCGCCUGCCUUACAAGCAGGAUGUCGGCGGUUCAAACCCGUCAUCGCCCA
rnacentral:tRNA from 1 species